GAUGAACGCUGACAGAAUGCUUAACACAUGCAAGUCUACUUGAACUUCGGUUUGGGUGGCGGACGGGUGAGUAACGCGUAAAGAACUUGCCUCACAGUUAGGGACAACAUUUGGAAACGAAUGCUAAUACCUGAUAUUAUGAUUUUAGGGCAUCCUAAAAUUAUGAAAGCUAUAUGCGCUGUGAGAGAGCUUUGCGUCCCAUUAGCUAGUUGGAGAGGUAACGGCUCACCAAGGCGAUGAUGGGUAGCCGGCCUGAGAGGGUGAACGGCCACAAGGGGACUGAGACACGGCCCUUACUCCUACGGGAGGCAGCAGUGGGGAAUAUUGGACAAUGGACCAAAAGUCUGAUCCAGCAAUUCUGUGUGCACGAUGACGUUUUUCGGAAUGUAAAGUGCUUUCAGUUGGGAAGAAAAAAAUGACGGUACCAACAGAAGAAGUGACGGCUAACUACGUG
rnacentral:rRNA from 1 species